UCCUCAUUGUGCAUGCUGUGUGUGUUUCUUAUGGGUCCACACAGCGCCUGCAAUGUGGAGG
ensembl:miRNA